rnacentral:rRNA from 1 species
CCUACGGGUGGCAGCAGUGAGGAAUAUUGGUCAAUGGGCUUACGCCUGAACCAGCCAAGUCGCGUGAGGGAAGACUGCCCUAUGGGUUGUAAACCUCUUUUGUCAGGGAGCAAUUGGCGCUACGUGUAGCGUUAUCGAGAGAACCUGAAGAAAAAGCACGGGGUAACCCCGUGCCAGCAGCCGCGGUAAUAGGGGGGAUUCAAGUGUUACCCGGUUUUAUUGGGUUAAAAGGGUGCUAAGGCGGAAUGCCAAGUCAGCGGUAAACUCGCGGGGCUCAACCUCGCUCCGCCGUUGAAACUGGCGUUCUUGAGUGGGCGAGAGGGAUGCGGAAUGCGUGGUGUAGCGGUGAAAUGCAUAGAUAGCACGCAGAACUCCGAGUGCGAAGGCAGCAUGCCGGCGCCCAACUGACGCUGAAGUACGAAAGCGUGGGUAUCGAACAGGAUUAGAUACCCGGGUAGUC